ACGGGGGGAGGAAAGUAGGGGAUCGUAAGACCUCGCGCUAUUGGAGCGGCCGAUGUCCGAUUAGCUAGUUGGUGGGGUAAUGGCUCACCAAGGCAACGAUCGGUAGCUGGUCUGAGAGGAUGAUCAGCCACACUGGGACUGAGACACGGCCCAGACUCCUACGGGAGGCAGCAGUGGGGAAUUUUGGACAAUGGGCGCAAGCCUGAUCCAGCCAUGCCGCGUGAGUGAAGAAGGCCUUCGGGUUGUAAAGCUCUUUCGGCCGGAACGAAAUCGUCCGGGCUAAUACCCCGGAUGGAUGACGGUACCGGAAGAAGAAGCACCGGCUAACUACGUGCCAGCAGCCGCGGUAAUACGUAGGGUGCAGGCGUUAAUCGGAAUUACUGGGCGUAAAGCGUGCGCAGGCGGCUACUCAAGUCAGAUGUGAAAUCCCCGGGCUUAACCUGGGAACUGCGUUUGAAACUACAAGGCUAG
rnacentral:rRNA from 1 species